CAUGGUCUCAGACUGGAUCUUCCAUUGGUGUUUUGCGCUGUCAGUCCGCUGCGGCGCUCCGUGCCCCGGAGCUUGCUGGGAGUUGUAGUCAGUUUUUUUCCUGGGCCCGGAGACGGGUUCCAAACGGCGCACGUUUUUACCUCAGGAGCUCAGAAAAAGGGGCGAGGAUUCCCGUCUUGGCCUCUUGUGCUUAUUUCAGUCCCGGAAUCCCUCAGGGUUAGCAUGUCGGUUACCAUAACUCCCAUGGCUUGCUACCUUCUGCCAAUUUCCCGAGGGUAAGGGCACCUCAGGUCUGGUUCUGGGAACCACUAUGUAGCCAAGCUCUGGAAUUGGGAACUGGACUUUUGAUAACUGGCGCUCAAAAAGUCUUUGUUUCAUCCUUUCGGACGAAAGUGUAUAUGACCAAGGGAGUUAAAUAUUUGUAACCUGGAACUGUACAGUUAUCCCUGACGGAAAUUAAUAGAGCAAAUUUGGCCACUGGUUAAGGCGUUUGUUUGGGUCCUGAGGAUCGAACUUCCGGCUCCUUGGAGUGCUAAGCAAGCGCUUUAAGACUGAGUUAAACCCCCAGUCCCGGCCUCAGUUUUAUCCGUCAAUCAAGCGGGCUCCUGACUGGUCACAAAGGAUUUUAUUACCCUGCAACAUAAUGCUUUACCAAGAACUAUGAUGUCCUUCACAUACACUAAUCCACUCAAUCUGGCAAUGACGAUAGAGAACACUUCAUCAAUCUACUCUUGAAAGUGAAGAAACUUCCAACAGAGACCAAGCAACUUGCCUGAAUUCAUCAGCUAGUCAUUGAAAUACAAAUAGAAUCUAGAUCAAUGAAGCUAUAUUUCUACACUCGUGCUCCUUGACUCAUGAGGGGCUAUGGCCCAAUAAACUCAUCCUAAGUUGACAAUAUUCAAAGUGGAUAUGCCUUUGAUGUACCUAACCUACUGACCUUCCUGCCUCAGCAGCUCAGCACACCACUUCGGAGAAUCCAGCCAGGGCCAACUUUGAUCUGGGGAACCAAGAACAGGAGCAUCAAGAGCGGCAAAUGGAGGAUCGAGAACUUGGCAAAAAGCAGCUACUGUCACAGGAAGCUUGAAGAAUGUGCAUGGAAAAUAAGAGUAUAUUCUGUUCUGUCCACAUUUCUUUCAUGGCCUGGUUUUGUGAUCAGGAAGAGGAUUUUGGAGAGUGUUAUGUAAGAGAUUUUGCUGCUAUUGAGUACCAGGUGCAGGCAUCCUCUUCUUUCCAGCUGUGCCCCAAAUCCUGACACAGUAUUGUGGAGUCCUGCAGAUAGGCCCUGGAUAACAUCAUGACCUGGCUCCCAACCUCACAAACCCAGAGACAUGGCCAGCAAGUAGAUACAUCUUGCAUGCCAACAACCAUUUGAAUUUUUAGCAGUGGUGACCUAUAACAUGGUGUUGGAGAAGACUGCAAGGUACCUCCAUGCUAGCCCUUAAUGUUUUCUAAGUGAGCACACAAGGCCUCAUGUGUAUCAUCCCUGAGUCUGUAACACACGAAAGGGGGAUUUCAUAAGUGGCUAACUAAACAACUACCAGACUCUUAAGAUAAUUGAAGAGAAACAUAGUGGUAGUUUAAUGGUGGUAACUGACAGUUCUCUGACACACACUUUAAGAACACUGGUUAACAAACAUGUCUGGUAAGGAAAGGAUUUCCCAAACUUGUUCUAUAGACUGUUUGGGCUGAAUAAUUCUUGUUGUUGAGGGCUAUCAUACAUUGUACAUUGUAGGAUGCUUACAAAAACCCCAGUCUUUAUCUCAUAGAUGACAGUACCACCCCUAUUGUUAUAGCCAAAAAUGUUUCCUGAUGCAUGGCCCUCAUUGAAAACCAGUGAUCUAGGAGAAGUGAGACCAGGGUGAUGUGAUUAGAAAACUCAUCUUUUGAAGAAUAAUUGAAGGAACUAGGUGGUUUAAUUUAAAGGAAACUAAAUAUGGCAGUGAUCAUUUCAGUAUCGGAAAGGUAUGGAUGGGCUUGUUCUCUAUCACACUGUUACGCAGAGCAGGACACUAAGUGAAAGUACUAGGAGGUUAGAUUUAUAUUCUGUAUACAGAGACAUUUUUCAACAGAUCUCUGGUACUGCUCUGAUAUUGUGGCGUCUCCUAUC